AGUCACUAGAGAUCAGACAGAGGGAAGUGUCUCAGCACCUGUUGGUGUGACCGCACAGGUGGGUGGCAAAGAGGCUGGGGAAUGAGAGCUCAGGCUCUAUCUGUGAGCUCCACAGAACAAAACAUUGGGUUUGUGGACCAUGAGUGAGGAGUAGAGCUGACAGGCCGGUGUAAACCGAACCCCGCAGGCAGCAGACCAGCUUGGCUGUUGGUGGACACCUCAAGGCUCUUACUGCUGAAAAGGAUUUCUGACCCCAAGACUCAACUAAUCUCUGCAAUUCUCCAGCUGUGAUCCUUGGAGAGUCUUUGGCCACUCAAACACUCCUCCUCAUCGUGCAUUAGGACGAUAUAGACACACAUCCUCUUCCAGGCAGAUUUGUGACAUCUUUAGUUGAUUGGAACCUCUUAAGUAUUGCCCUGAUGGUGGAAAUGGGGAUUUUCAAUGAAUUAGCUCCUUUCUUACAGCCACUUUCUAAAUUUGUGAAGUUCAACAAUCUUCUGCUGCACAUGAGAAAUAUAUUCUUUGAUUUUACUCCUUGUGACCAAUGAUUAAUGUUGAUUACAUACACACACAUUUUUGUCUUUUCUAUAUAAUAUAUUGCUAUAUUGCUUACUACUAACACUGUUAAAUACACUACAUUAAAAAUAAAAUUAGAUUCCAACAACAGGUCUGCAUUUCUUCAAUUAAGAAAUUAAUCUCCAGUAUUCAUGUGGAAGUGUCUUCUGGCAAGGGAGAAAUACAUGAACAAAACAGGGCUUGAGAGCUUUUGUCAUCCGUACAUGCCAGCGAAGACAGAAACGAGCACGCAGAGGGUGGCGGCAAAGUGUCAGACGUUCACAAAUAAAAUCAACUUGUGCAGUGUCGCCUGGAGCACGCAGUCGCACACGCAGCGGGCUAGAAUCAAUCCGGCCGACUGCGACUCAGCCCCCAUGGAUUAAGAUUUAAAUUGAGGCCCAUCUACGCUGUCACUAAAAUGGAUAUUGUAUCCUUCAUGCAGGAAGUAGGGAAUUACGGCAUUCCUCUCUCCCCCCUUUACUGCUCUUGACAGAUAAGUGGUGCAAGCAAAGCUGCACGGCACAGGCGCUGCUUUUCAAAACCAGCAGUCGCCUUCAUCUAGGCACGGGCAAAUAGAGCAUGGGACGGCCGGGGUCUGCGAGGGACGCUGUUCCUUUUAAAACCUUGCAUGCUGUGAACCGGCUCAAAUAAAUAUCCCCAAAGGCAUCCCUCGUUCAAACACACUCCUUCAAACAGCGGCGAGCCAAGAAAUAGCACCAUCAUGGCACUCAAACACUCUUUCCGACUCCCUCUCUCCCAUCUUCUCUACUUCCUCCCCACCCGAUUGCCUCUGUGUGGCCAGGCGGUCGGUGUAGCCGAAAGGUCACUGGUGGGUAAUUUGUUUUUAGCUAUGCAGACAAGCCUCACAACACACACGGCCAGGUAAACCAAUUACACCCUGACAUGAAUUGCCAUGACAAACAGCCUCCGCACACAAGUGCCACGGCCAUUAGCGGUCACGCCGCUGUCCUCCCUCUUGGAGAAGAGCCCCGUCCCUGACACCCAGCCCACCUUGGUUAGCUCUUUCUCAUUAGCCGACCAGGAGAUCAUUAACCAACACCAACUGCAACCAGGUAGAUGGUUUAUAUUUGACACACAAAGACAUUUAAAUCAAGCAAGCUGAUUGACACAAAUGUUCAUGCUAAAAUAAACCGUUAAGCCCCGCCCAUUUGGCAAAACCUUUAUAAUUUGGAUUCCCAGAAUUACAGCCAACAGCUUGAAAAGAACAUCCUUUUGGUAUUCAAAAUAUGAGACAAGAUAAAUACAAGCACAGGAUGGAUUUGGUCUGGAUUUCAUGGCAUUAGUGAUAUGAACUGAUGCUAUUUUUCCUCAUAUGAUUUUUUUAAUAAAGCUCUUCAGCCUUUUUUCGGUCUGUACAUAAGUGUGUGUGUGUGUGUGUGUGUGCGCGCUGUCUGGUACCACCUCGUGAAAACAACAGCUUUCUUGGCAUUCGUUAAAAAUCCUCCAGAGAAAAACUCAAGCUAUGCCUGGCAGCCACGGCUUUAUGGAUGCGAGCAAUUUCAGCCGCAUGUUUGCAAAACAGCAUGUCAUCAUCGCUGCUGUUAAUCAAACACACUCCCUCAUCUACCCCCACCGCACACCCGCAUACUGUCCUCUCUCUCGUGCUCCGGGGCUGCCAUUUGACUCACAGGGAAGGGCUCCUAAGUAUCCAUGUUAAAUCUGUUACCUUGCAUCCCAGCACCCCCCGCACGCCAAUCCUCCUUGAAAUUAAUUACAUGAGUGAGCAGCACUUUUACACUCACUAACUGGCCAUUUCUGUAGUCGGCUUGGGAGGGCUCUCCUGUACUCCAUUCACUGGCCCUGAAGCAGCCCUCGGCCUCCCCUGCCAGUUACUAUGGCAACAAUGUUCUUUCAGCACUUGCAAAAUAAUGAAGACAAUGUGUUUUCCAUUUAGAUUAGUUUUUGGCGCGGUGGUGAUACAGAGUGUCCAUCUUAGCACCUCUUUCACGGCUGAUACGAUGCAAUAAAAAUGGCUCUCCCGACUUCAAAUGCAGGUUUACCUCUACUAUCGGACAGAUAGCUGGUGUACGAUACUGGGGAAUUUUUUUUUUCUUCUCUUAACACAAUGGUUUAAUUACUUGCUGAGAGAGUAGAAGAUCAAGUCAGUGUGAAAGGAACAAAGGAGGAAGACGGUUCACUUCUGCUACUGGGGGAGAAAUAUGAAGAUUUUUCAGUGAACUAAAUUGGUAGAAAGAGUCAUAAAACACAAAAUGGGAAAAAUGUAUUCCUUAUGUACUGGAAGGGAAAAAUAGCGUAACUUUUUGAAAGAUUGUAAAAUAUCGUAAACAAAAUUACACAAAGAAAUAACACAAUUAUUCAAUUGCUAAAGUGAUCCAUAAAAUAGCUUCAACUAAUAUGACUAAAGUCAAUCUUAUGUGAAUGUUUAUAA